GCAAUUUGACUGGUGUGAUUAUGUGGCACUAUGAAGCACGAACACACGUCGGUGUCUGACACGACACAAACACUUAUAAUUACAUUGAAUUGUGUCAUUUUCUCAAAUUAUUAUCGGUGUCGAUAUGUCAGUGUCUGUGCCAUGUCUGGUAUCCAUGUCCAUGCUUCAUAGUUUGGCAUGCAUGAUGUAAUUGUAACUUUGAUUGACUGCCCUAAUGUCUUGCAUCUUCUAUAGAUUGGAAAUAUUACAGUUUCUCUAAUUUUGUUUUUAGAAUUUAAAGUUUGAUUUCUAAUAUUGUCUUGAUGCUAUGCAUGCAACGAUGCACAUGUUUAAUCUUGUCUAGAAUAGUGAAGACCAGAUGCUAAAUGCUGAUAUUCUCUGACAAAAAGAGGACCAGGCAUCUACAUUUGUUCCCUUGAAAACAAUGUCCUUUUGCUUUUGAGAAUGAAGUGAGAACUGAGGUAACAAUAGCUCAAUUCUGUGUGUAUAUUGAUUGGAACUACAUGAAUAAAUUAGUGAAAC
rnacentral:lncRNA from 1 species